AGGCGUGAUGACGAGGCACUACGGUGCUGAAGCAACAAAUGCCCUGCUUCCAGGAAAAGCCUCUAAGCAUCAGGUAACAUCAAAUCGUACCCCAAACCGACACAGGUGGUCAGGUAGAGAAUACCAAGGCGCUUGAGAGAACUCGGGUGAAGGAACUAGGCAAAAUGGUGCCGUAACUUCGGGAGAAGGCACGCUGAUAUGUAGGUGAAGCGACUUGCUCGUGGAGCUGAAAUCAGUCGAAGAUACCAGCUGGCUGCAACUGUUUAUUAAAAACACAGCACUGUGCAAACACGAAAGUGGACGUAUACGGUGUGACGCCUGCCCGGUGC
rnacentral:rRNA from 1 species